rnacentral:lncRNA from 1 species
GAGGUCACAGAUUUGUGAGGAGAACCUACUGAUGUCAUGUCCCUGUAACAGUAAUUAGCCUAACUGCUUUCUAAAUAUUUGUCCUUAUACCCACAGAUAAAUAUAGCUCUCACUCCUCAUCAAAGAAGUGUAUUCUUGCAGAAAACAGACAAUUUCAGAGAACUGCACCUAGUCAAAAUGCAGCGAACAACUGAAUGUAAGGUGCCCAACCACCUCUCAAGUUCAUGGAACAUCAUAGAAGGAUGGAAAGAUUUAAAGAGCCAGAGAACCAAAUGGACUUAGUCAUUUGGAGAUGGGUCAUAGUUCUUGAAUGAAGUCUGGCCAUAUGUCUGAGGUGACCCAGGAUGUGUCUUUGAUUUAUUAUAAAAUGGUCACUGGCCAGUGAGCAGCAUGUGGCAGGUAAGAAGGCCAAGGUCAGUGCUUGGCUUUGUGGGGCUGUGCAAUUGUCCCAUAUGUGGGAGCUGAUUCAUGACCCUGUGGGGAUGCAGGUGUCCAGAAAAAUACUUUUGAUGACCUAAUUUCGGGCAGUUGAAAGUGCCACAUUAUUGCUGAAAUGAGCUUUGGACAAGAGAAUGACUUUGUAUGUGCUUUCAGCCUUCUUUUCCACACUACUUCUUUUGCUGCUGUACCAGCAAUGGUGAAGAAAGAGGCAAUAUUUGACCUUCCAUGGGACAAAUCGGGAACAAUAGAGGUAUAACAAUCUAAAGCAUUUUAGAAGAUUCUUUGUGAGAGCAAUUUUAGGUUAUUCUUAAAGAUACUCAUUAGUAAAUUAUACAUUUCUGUAAUAGUCUGUAUAUAUUCAGAAAUAUAAACAUUUCUGUUUAACUUCUUUUGGUGCUGUUAUUAAGAAAAGUUAAAUGUCUAGCAACAGGUAUACAGUGGUGUCAAACAGAUACUCUUUUGGUAUUAUGAAACCAAAGUCAAAGAAGUCUUCUUCUGUACCUGAAGCUGCCCUUAUUCCUUUAAUGUGUUCUACCCUGGAGUAACAUAGCAUCAAACUGAGAGAUAGUUCCUUAGCAUCCAGGGAGUUUGUGCUGUGUUAUGUGUGUGUGUGUGUGUAUACAUUUAUAUAUCAGUGUGUUUACAAUUAAUGUGAAUUUUAUAUGUGUAUAUAAUGUAUGUACAUAGUAUACAUACUAUAUGUAACCCCAAUUUCCCUCUCCAACUUCAGUCCUGUCCCCCAAACAUGCCUGCUUCUAACUUCAUAUCUUUUUUUGUAACUCUAUUCGUCCAAUUAUUGGUCCCUAUAG